UAGUUCAGUGGCUAAAACUCUGCACUCCCAAUGCAGGGGGCCUGGGUUCUAUCCCUAG
rnacentral:tRNA from 1 species